GUUCUUGAAGCGUCCGUCCGCACCACGGCCUGGAGUCUAGGGAGCCGUCAGCACACUGGCCCGGGACAGAAACUAGGGAUCGUACGAGGCGCCCUUCUGGUUUCCUUGGAGAAUCGCGUGCCGCGUGGAGAACUAAAGGGGCAAAAGCUGGCCCAGUCAGCCCCAGGCCAUCAGGACUUCCUACGUGUUCCGCUGCUUGUGACCGAGAGCCCGGAGACUGCGGAGCCAUUCCCCAGCCUGCUUUGCUCAAGCAGGUUCUGUGGCGCCACAGGAUGAGUGGGUGACGUAUCACAGAGUCGGCCAGAUGGAGUGCACCUUGGUUUAGCAGAGCAACUGCAGGAGGGGAUUUUUGUGGACAUGUAGCCCCAUAGGGCCAGGUUCAUCUCACUGAGCGCUGGGGUCUGAGGGCGAAGCCCUGCUGUGGACCUUCUGAUGAACAUAAAUGCAUCCUGACCACAACCAGCCAAGAACCCUCCCUGGAUCCUGCCAGCUCUGUGGUCCCUGAUGAAGAUGUAGCUCUCAGCCCUGAUGAUGCAGCUCCCGCGCCCUGCCUGCCUGCCUGCCUGCCGCUCAACUCCCUAUCAUAUUGUUCAUACAUAGACUUACCCUCUGAAACUACAGCCAAUCCUCCAAUUAAAUGUUUUCUUCUUU
rnacentral:lncRNA from 1 species